CAGCAGCCGCGGGAAUACGUAGGGCGCAAGCGUUAUCCGGAAUUAUUGGGCGUAAAGAGCUCGUAGGCGGUUUGUCGCGUCUGCCGUGAAAGUCCGGGGCUCAACCCCGGAUCUGCGGUGGGUACGGGCAGACUAGAGUGAUGUAGGGGAGACUGGAAUUCCUGGUGUAGCGGUGAAAUGCGCAGAUAUCAGGAGGAACACCGAUGGCGAAGGCAGGUCUCUGGGCAUUAACUGACGCUGAGGAGCGAAAGCAUGGGAGCGAACAGGAUUAGAUACCCCCGUAGUCCCUGUCUCUUAUACA
rnacentral:rRNA from 1 species